rnacentral:tRNA from 1 species
GGCGCGGUGAGAAGCGGUGGACGAUCUCCGAUGAGACUUUUGAUCCUCGUGUCCUGGGUUCGAAUCCCAGCCGGCCCUCCA